rnacentral:rRNA from 1 species
AAAAAAUCGGGAGGAAACCACCCAGGGGGCCAAAAAGCCGGCCCUUUUUCCUGGGGUCCUGAAAACCGAACCCUNUGAGGGCCCCGAAAAGCCCCUGGGGGAACCCACAACCAGGGAUUAGAUACCCUGGUAGUCCCACCCGUUAACCGGAUGAGUGCCUAAGUUGUUAAGGGGUUUCCGCCCCCUUAAGUGCCUGCAGCCUAACGCAUUAAGCACUCCGCCCUGGGGAGUACGGCCGCAAAGGCUGAAACUCAAAGGAAUUGACGGGGACCCGCACAACGGUGGAGCAUGUGGUUUAAUUCGAAGCAACGCGAAGAACCUUACCAGGUCUUGACAUCCCACUGACCGGUGUAGAGAUACGCCUUUCCCUUCGGGGACAGUGGUGACAGGUGGUGCAUGGUUGUCGUCAGCUCGUGUCGUGAGAUGUUGGGUUAAGUCCCGCAACGAGCGCAACCCUUGAUCUUAGUUGCCAGCAUUCAGUUGGGCACUCUAAGGUGACUGCCGGUGAUAAACCGGAGGAAGGUGGGGAUGACGUCAAAUCAUCAUGCCCCUUAUGACCUGGGCUACACACGUGCUACAAUGGAUGAUACAGAGGGUUGCCAACCCGCGAGGGGGAGCCAAUCCCAUAAAAUCAUUCCCAGUUCGGAUUGGAGGCUGCAACUCGCCUCCACGAAGCCGGAAUCGCUAGUAAUCGUGGAUCAGCAUGCCACGGUGAAUACGUUCCCGGGUCUUGUACACACCGCCCGUCACACCACGAGAGUUUGUAACACCCGAAGUCGGUGGGGUAACCCUUACGGGAGCCAGCCGCCGAAGGUGGGACCGCUGAUUGGGGUGAAGUCGUAACAAGUAGCCGUAUCGGAAGGUGCGGCUGGAUA